UUAUUUUCUUUUCCUCUUCUUCUCACUUUCAAAUCCAAUCUACUUUUCCCCAAAUCACAUUCUUCACAAUUCCUCAAAAUCCUUCUUUCUCCACCAUCAGUUUUCCCUCUCUAAUACUUCCUCAUUCAACAAAAUUUUGGAAGAAAACCCCAAGUGAAGGGGGAGGUCAGUGGCGCCGCUCCUCGCGCUACUCCGGCGAAAUCGACAAUGCUCUGCGUCGCCGGAGCACUACUCCGGCUACUCCCUCCUCCACCGCUUCUCCUUCGUUUUACUUUUCCAAUUUUCCCCAAAUUAGAAAUGUACAGCAGCUUCUUCUCCUACCUUUCCUCGGCGAAAUCGCCACUCCCGACGGUCUCACGCCGGUCGCCGGCUCUGCCGGCGUCUUCCUCCCCGGCGAUUCGGGUCUCCUUUCCCUCACUUCCUUAUCGCUACGAUCGAGAAUAGAGAAGCAGCAGCGUCCGCGCUCCACUCCGUCGCCGCACGCCUGCAGCUGCUCUGCGGAACCCGUUCGGGGCUCCGCUGAUACUCGCCGAUUUCGGCUCUGUUCGGUGUGAUUCGGGACGUCCGCGAUUAAGCUAAGUCUUUUAUAAACUUCUCUUAUCCCCUUCAUUUAAUUUUCCCGUAGUAGUGUAACUACCCUAUGUCUGGGGACUUUGGUGUUUGAGAAGUAUAUGUGAAAUCUUUUCUUCGCUUAUUGGUGAUGUUCAAGUUUUGAUCUUGCGAGGAUUUGCCUACUGUGUCAACUUAUCGGGGUUUCGGCAAACUCUAUAUUUUGUUUCUUGGCAGAAUGAUUGUUGAGACUAUGCCUAGGUGAUACUUGCUCAUGUUGUUGUGGAGGAAUCGUAUUGCUAUCUUAAGUUCUUGCGCUAUCUAUUUGCUAUAUAUGAUGCAUAGAUGGUGUGGGGUGAGGUUUACCUUGUUCGGAAAAUCCUCCUCCUUAGUCGUGGCUGUUGGUUUGCUGUCAAUACUUGCUUGUUCCCUCCUCUUGCUGCUCCUUCGCAAGUUUUGGGGGUGUCUACGGGUGGCCAGAAAGAGUGGGGAGGGCUGAUUUUAUAGCCAAUUUCCUUGUCUUUUGUGGCAGGUUUUGGGGAGUAUAACUUGCUACUUUGAGCUAAAGGUCUCUCCUUCUUUUAAGUUUGUUAAGGAGGCUUCCUUGCCUUUUUUUUGUGCAAAGUCUUGGAAAGCUAUCAUCGCUGAUCUCAUUUGUGAUUUGGGUGAAUAUGAUUCCUCUCAUUUGGAUUUGAAGAUAAGCUCAUCUUCCUUGCUUCACUUGUCACUAUUUCCACUUUGGUGAAAUGGGGAAUAACCGAGGUUGUCCUUAACAGCUCAUUCAUCUUCCUAUUUUGUGCAUCAAGAUGGAAAGGGACUUUACUAAGGUUUCAACUUGGUCUUUUGUGGAGUGGGGAGCAAGGAUCCAGCUGGAGAAGAUUUCCAUGAUGAAUUAGAAUCUAGUGUUGUCAUUUUACUCUUUCUAGCUAUUAAUGUAAAGUAGCUUUUGCAAAGUAGAUAUAUCUUCUUCCCCAAAAUUCUUAUGUAACAUCUUUCCAUGAAAGAUGGACUUCUUCCUUGUAA